rnacentral:rRNA from 1 species
UACGGAGGGGGGCUAGCGUUGUUCGGAAUUACUGGGCGUAAAGCGCACGUAGGCGGCUUUGUAAGUUAGAGGUGAAAGCCCGGGGGCUCAACUCCGGAAUUGCCUUUAAGACUGCAUCGCUAGAAUUGUGGAGAGGUAAGUGGAAUUCCGAGUGUAGAGGUGAAAUUCGUAGAUAUUCGGAAGAACACCAGUGGCGAAGGCGACACACUGGCCCAUUACUGACGCUGAGGCUCGAAAGCGUGGGGAGCAAACAGG